UCUAGUACUUGCUGUAGAAUCCUUUUCUCCUCUGAGGAUUUUAGAAAUGCUAUUUUUACUUCCUUUGGAGCAAGUGCAUUUUCUGGUGACUGUGGCAUGUUUGCUCAACACCCAGUCACUACUGACUCCUGGGCUUGCUGUAUUUCUAGUCUGCAGAGAGGUCUCUCCUUGGUCGCUUGGGAGCUCAGUCACUUAGAUCAGUUGCCAUGGAGUGCUCGCUGCCUUCCCCCUUUAGAACUCACACAAGUUCUCGUCACAGCCUGCGUGCACCAGAAAACAUACUUUUGACUAAAGCUUUUGCCUGAACCACUGGUGUCUGCUGGACCUGCUGGAAAGGCCCCUCUGUGACUUUAUUGAGCAGAGCCACAAGCUGGAGACUUCCUAGGCUCUGGACAUGGAGACGUCAGAUAUCUCAGCUAGAUCUGGACCUGCUGCAGAUUACGUUAUCACAGGGCCUUAUCCCUGAGACCCCACCAUCCCACUGUCCCCCCAAAUACUCAGAGCACUUCCUAUUCUGAAGCCUUCCUUAGGUCAGCCUGGGGUAUCAAUCCUAACUGAUCUGGAAUUGUCCUGUUUUGUCUGCUUCAAUGCUUUCUUUCCCCAGGGACCAAGUUCUCAUUUUCACUGUCCUUUGAAGUAGUUCCACCUCUAGUGACGUUUGGACUAGUCACCAAUGAACACCCACGCGGGAUAACCCUCUGCCAGGCUCCUUACAGUGAUACAGCUCAGACUUCUAGAAUCUAACCAGGAACCGUCUGCGGCCCUGUUCCCACAUCCUCUCACACCUUAGACUCUACACAUUCAUCCUCCACCUUGCUCUAGCCAUCUCCCCUCAGCCCUUGCUGUUCUGUGACUGGCCCCCAGGUUUGCCUUUUGUAUCUUUAAAACCCAGCUCUCCCUGUCUUCUCUCUGCCUACCUUUCUCUCUGAAUUCCCCAUUCUCCCGCCCAACUUUGCUUCAUUUAAAAGUUGCUUCUGUUUCAAUUAAUGAAUCCUAACAAGGGGAAGACAAUUAGCAACUGUAUUGCAGCGCCCAAAGUUCCCAACGUGUGCCUUUGUCUCCUGGCCUUUUCUGUUGCCACAUACAUUCUCUUGUAGUUUUUGUCAGACUUCAUAAUUUAGUAUUCCAAGUUGGCCUCCACGAAACAAACGAAGCUUAAACCUCAGAGCUCCCAACCUACAUGUGGCUCCUCCCUCCACCAGUGAUUUUUAGCCUCUCUGAGGCCACACAAGUUGUACAAUCUUCAGGCCCCUCGGAACCUGGAUCUGCCCUGUUCUCAUGAUUCACGAGUUUCCCACGGUCCUGAAAGUGCUUUGUGCUCAGGAUCUGGUAGAUGGAGGGUUGGUCAUAGGGGACAAAUCAGUUCACUCCCUCAGUGUGGGACCUUAGGUGAGCCAAUAUUUUGCUAUUACAAAUCACAGAGCUAGCAGCCUGUUUGCGCAUUAAUCUUGGUCCACAUUUCUUGUUAUGUCCUUGAAAUGGAUUUACAGGAGGAGAGGGGCUACAUGAAAGGCAGAGACAUAGUCAGUGGCAGUCCCUUCCCCAGUCUGACAAUGCCACAGGCAGUCAUGUUCAUCCCCAUUACCCUGUGCUUUAAAAGUAAGCAUUUGAAAAUCCCCACCCUUUAGAUGGGUGACACAUGGCAUCUCCCCUCUUUGCACUUGCUUGCAAGGUUGAGCCUUUGAACCUUGGCUAUCCUUAUAAAUUCCCUGGUUAAUGUCCUUGAGUGUUGUCCCAUUCAAGAUCUAUAGUUAUCAUUUGAUGUUAUUUAAUAAUUUCAAUGAAACAUUUAAAUAUUAAAAUAUCAUGAGACCUGUGUGCCAGAUUGCCUUGGAAUAUACUUUUCCAAGUUCAAUGCAUACUCUUUAAAGAUUUGUUUUCAUGAUUUUUAAUUAAGUAUUUGCAUGCAUGCCGUGUAUAGAUAUGUACACAUGAGUCCAGGUGCCCUCAGAGGCAAGGGACCAUGAAUCACCUGGAGCUGGAGUUACAGCUCCCAGGUCACAAGGCUCUCAGCUGGCACUGGAAACUUAACUCAGAGGAAACUGAACUUGGGUCUCCCGCAAGAAUAGCAAGCGCUCAGCUGCGGCACUGUCUCCACACACAUGACAUAGACCUUUAAACAUUUACUGUUGGAGUGUUUGAUGUCACACUUUUGAAAGCAUUUGUGGUUAUUUUCCUGCUGCUACUGCUUUGUUGUUUUGGUUUCCUUUUUCACCUAGAGUGCUGCCCCACAUCCAGAUGCCAGAUUGCACCGUUAUUGUCUUGUUCUUACAGUUAAGGUGUUAUUUUGUGUAGGGUUUGUUUUUUAAUAGGAUGCCAGAGGUGUAGGUAGGGUCUAUAUUUUUUCUACUUGGCUCACCAGUUGUCUUGGUGCUAUUUAUUAAAUGGCCCACUGCUCCCUCCUGGGUUUGGAAAGAGUCCUUUAUCACACCUUAAGUGCCUGCACAGCUGAGACAUGGCUGUGGAAUGACCCGUUCUGUCCCACUGACGGAGCCAUCUGUUCCUGGACACUGUUUUCAUUACUGCAGAUUUAUUAUGGACAUUAAUAUGUGGGAGGGCAGGAGCUUACUCAUUACUCUUAUCUUGACAAAUUUAUUAUUUUCUAAAAUUUCUCAUUUUCCUAAAACAUCUUAUUAUGAAAUAUAAUUCAUGUAUUAAAAAUGCACGGAACCAUAAAUGUAGAACUUAACAAAUUAUCAAAAAGCAAACACCUAUGUAAAUACCACCCAAGUCAGAAGCACAGAAGUCUCGGAGGGUCCUCACAGGCCUACUCCCAGCUGCCCAUAGAGGGGAUUGCCCUGGUGAUAUAGUAAGGGCUCAGAAAAGCUGAACUUAUCCUAGUCUGAAUUCAGAAACUCCCUCUAUAACUUGCACACUUUGACCUUAAUAUAAAUGAAUUUCUAUAUAAAUGGAAUGUGUAUAAAAGGACUUAAGUGUUCUUUUAUAAACUAGUUUUUAAAAAGAAUAGAUUAUUUAUUUUAUGUAUAUGAGUACCCUGUUGCUUUCUUCAGACACACCAGAAGAAGGCAUCAGAGCCAUCAUGUGGUUGCUAGGAAUUGAACUCAGGACCUCUGAAAGAGCAGCAGUUAAUGCUCUUAACUGCUAAGCCAUCUCCCUAGCCUCUUUAUACCAGUUUUUAAAUAUCUGUAUUGUUUUCAAUUCUGCGUCUCCACGUGUAUCUGUGUGAGACUACAUGCACAAGAGUGCAGGUUUGCCCAGAGACCACAAAAGCGUGUUGGAUUCCCUGGAGCUGAAUGAGCAGGCAGACAGCUGUGCUUGAAUUGGGUGCUGAGAACCAAACCCGAGUCCCUUGUGAAUGCAGCAAGUGCUAUAAUUUGUUGAGCGAUCUCUCCAGCUCCUUAAAUUCUCUCUUGCAUCUGGUCUUUUUUGGUCAGUGUUUUGUUUCCAAUGCCCAGCCAUACCACUGAGUAUAAUUUUUGGUUCAUUUACUAAAGCAACCAAACAAAACCAAAAAACAUUCCAAGAUAUUCAGCUCCCCGGAUAUAAGUGUUUAUUCUCUCCUGCUGAACCCUUGGGCUGCUGUUGCUUGGGUCUUCUGUGAAAAGUGCUACAGUGAAUUCCUACACAUGUCUGACAGCACGCAUGCACACCUAUGCUACAUUACAUACACCGGAGAUUGCACACCAUGAUAUUUCAUGUUGAUGCAUCGUUCAAAGUAGCCCUGAACAUGUCUGACAAUUAAUACUGCCACCAUCAGGGUAUACAGAUUUCUAUCCUACAGUGGUUUACCACUCCACUGUUUUGGUAAUCAUUAUCAUUUCAGCCUUUCAGGUACUCAUGCUAUAGCAUCUCUUAAUAGUUUUAAUCAUGCAUUCCCCAUGGACACUAAAGUUUAAUGCCUAAGUAUGCUUAUUAGAAAUGUGGAUUCCCCUGCCUUAAGUCUCUGCCCAUGUCUUUUGUGCACUUUUAUUCAGGUUCCCUGUCUUCUUAAUGUGGUUUGAUGCAGACUGAGCCUUCUCUUGGUAUAUGAAUUGUAGUCCUCGCCUCUGGUUUCUUUGUCUGGCCACUUGGAUUCUUAGCACCUGCUGACUGUUUCCAGGUGUGAAUUUAGUAGACAGACAGCAUCCACUCAGAACCUCCCACACAGCCAGAUAGUGAAGCCUUGAGGCUUCACUAGCUCCAGUUCAUGAACAUUGCUCAUGCCUUUCUUACUGCCUCAUGUGUCUAAUUCCUCUAACGAGAUUUACUCCAUAGUUUUCUGUGUUAAACCUUCCUUGUUUUAUGUGCAGUGUAUGUACCUAUAUGCUUUAAAUAUAUAUACUGUAAAUGAUACCUCCCAUAUUUUAUUUCACUUCAUGAGGCUAUAUAAACAGGAUACAAUCUAUCUACUAACGUCAUAUCUAGAAAAGCUUGUGAAUCACUUACAAGUGUAUUAAUUAGUCUGGAAAGCAUUUGGUCUCAUUACUACACGCAAUUCUUUAUUUUAGCUUUUUAUCAUUUCAAAAUGGAAACUUUGCUUAUUCCUUGUCAAUCAAUCUCUCAGCUUCCCCUUGACUGUCUUGCAAACUGCACCAUGGAGACCUUCCUGAAAAUCCCAAAGAGAGAUGGGCACUGUGGACGCGCCGCUCUGUCUUUACAUUCAGUCCCUGCGGGGGAGUGCUAUGCUACAUUUUUUCCCAAGCUAAAUAAAGUUGCAUGGGGAUUUUACUUGAAGUUGCACUUUGGCACCAGGGUCCUAUCAAUCUUCAUCUCCAGGAUGCAGGAUUUCUACUUAUUUAUGUCUUUGGGGGAAUAUUAGAACAUUUCGUUUUUAUGGGACCCAUACAUUGCCUUUAGCUGCGAUCCCAGAUGCUCAUUUUGACUUUGCUUUUUAAAGUGGUAGGGACAUCAAUUCCUAAAUAUCUAGCCAGUCAUGAGACAUCCAGUAGCUGAUUCACUUGCCCCUCUGUUUGUGUUACCACUUAUAGCUGAUUCUUUGGAGGUGCCAAGCCAAUACAUAACUUUAAGCAAUUGUUGCUUACUUGUAUUCUUUUUUAAAUAUUUCAUUUGUUAAUUUUG